CCCUGACAUGGGGCUCGAACCCACACACUGAGAUCAUGACCUGAGCUGAAGUCGGAUGCUUAAGUGACUGAGCCACCCAGGCACCCCUCUUCCUCUUUUUUGAAGGGUAUUAAUUCCAUCAUAAGGGCUCCACCCUUAUGAGUUAAUCCAACCCUAAUUACUCCCUCAAGGACCCACCUCCAAAUACCCUUACACUCAGGAUUGGGGCUUCAAAAUAAGAAUUUUGGGGAGGGACACAAACAUUCAGUCCAUAGGACAGGCAUAACAUUUUGGAGGAUGAGCAGUUAUCACUUCUGUCCUCUUGGAGCCCAGAGCUGACAAGUAAUAUAUCCAAGUACCCUGUUGAACAGAACUCGUGCAGAAGCAGCAUAGGUGGGGAGAGAGACACAGCUGAGCCAAGACUUCCAGCAGUCCAUGCCUAGUUGGUAAGCAUGUCAGUGAGGCCAUCUUGGAUCCUCCAGACCAGUUCAACCACCAGAUAAAUACUAUGGAUUGGCCAUGUCAGUGCCACAUGGAACAAAAACAUUGUCUCACCAAGCCCUGCCUAAAUUCUCAAGCUAGUGUAUUGUAAGAGAUAAGAGUAAAUUGUUUUGGCAAGCCACUAGUUUUGUAAUGAUUUAUUGUAUAAAAUACCUAACCAGAACAAGAGAGAAACACAAUUCACUCUCUUCACGUUGCCUCCUUUUCUCUAUGCCUCUCAAUAUUUCCCUAGCCUGUAGAUAUCUUUGAGUACUCUGGCUAAGUGGCUUUAGUUGUGGCUGUGACCUCUGGGGUGAAUGUAGAGUGUUUGGUUGUCACCAUAUAAACCACUCCAAGUACUUCUCCAAGAAUUUGGAUUUCUAGGUUACUUGGCUAUCAGUUAGCUCAUUCAGGGUCACUGGGAAAGACCAAAAUGUUAGAUAGGCAAUUUUCUGUCUUUAUGGCACUUUCUGUUUCUUUCAUCUUGGAGCUCUGAGCUUCCAGGUGACAAGACCACUCUGCUACAGAGACCAUGUGAAGAUAAAAUGUAACUUCUGUAUCCUCGUUGGAUUAAUACAAGCUCUACUCUAACCUAUUCUAAGUCAAAAGUCUCUGGCUACUGAGAGGUAUGUGGUCAAGAAGAGCCCUGCAUGAAGAACGCAUCUGAAACCAAUCUCUCAUAGUCAGAGGCACCAAAGUGAACCAAUUCAGAAAGGCAAGCCAAAGACAUAGACAAUCUGUUAUACUUAGACCCUCGGUGAAUAAACAGAUGGCUGAGAGUGCAGAAGUAUGCUCAGGGCCUGCAGAUCUAAUAACCAGAAAAGUCAACAAGGGCACUUGAGUUGAAUUCUUGGUGACAAAGGCUGGAGGCUGGUUGAAUUAGGCAGAUUGGGCUUUUCUAAACUAGAGCAAUAGAUUUUCACCAACCCUUGAAGUUUUAAAAUGCAACAUGCAGGAGAUACAUUGUACAGAAGGAAACAUAAUUGGAAAGGACACUAAUCACUGCAUUUCAGGAACCAAGCAUGGCUGGAAUAUCCUUACCCUGGGAGGGUUCUCUGAAGCUUAGGUCACUUGAGUACAUAUAUAUUAAACCUUGUGAUUACUUAAUUAUUGCAUUUUAUGGACUUGAGGAGCCAGUCGUUUGGUAUAAAGAAACUUUUAGGUUAUGAGAAAAUACAAGGUAGACUCUGAAAAAGAGAGCCAUGGAAGAACAUCAACAGAGCCGGAAGAACAGAUAUGGGCAUCUGGCCAAAGCAGAUGCUCCAUGAAGCUAAGGAUGCUGUAGCAUCAAGGUCCUAUAUGUGCUGGUGAUUUUUCCAAAGGCCUAGAGCAAUGUGUUCACAUGAUACUGUGUUUUGUAAAAUUUGCACUUUAAGAUUAAUUUUUGUAGUCCAGUUUCUUUGCAUUGUGACAUGCCUUCUGUCACAUUUUCCUUCUGUCAUUGCCACUUGCAUAGCCAAAGAAACUUCUGGGAUAUGACUAAGGUGAAGGUCAGGUGGGAAAGAUUUACUUUGAAUUUACUGGGAGAUAUCUGUGUGGUUUUCAGACAUGUCCAAGAAAAGUUAUUUCUAAUCAUCCACACAGCAAUGGCUUCCACAAAAACUCCUAUAGUUCACCAUUCUGUCUGCCCCAGUGUUGUGACAGGGAUACACAGGACCAGAGGUAUAACUAUUACAUGAACAUGCUCUAAGAAACUCCACAUUGAAGGUUUGCAGACAGGGGAGGAGAAACAAGGAAAUGUAUGAAGCUAGGAGCUGGUCUAUGGGAAAUUUGUCUACUCAUCAGUCAUAUAACACCAUAAAGGGAGGAUUUGGUUUCCAGUGAUGUUUGUCAAAGCAGACUAUAUUUGAUAAUACAGUGUAUGCUAUUAUAACUGCGCCAUACAUUUUUUUUUUCUGUUUUGAUGAGAGUCCUACGAAAAGGAAUCAAUCUGAAUUCUCAUCGGUACACAUGGAAGGAGGGGGGAAGAACUUGUAGUGUUAUUACCAAUACCUAGUUAUGUUUGGGAUGUUGCAUGCUUUGCACACCCAAAGCACUGGAUGGUGUCUUAAUAUAUCCAUUUGAUGAGACAACAAAGCAUCCCCGCUUUGUUGGAACAAAUUCUGAGAGACCUAGAUGAAACAGUUUAGCAAAACAACGCAUUCAGCAAAGUAAGAAAAAAAUAAGUAUUCUAAUAGCAAUUCACCUAACACUUCUUCCAAAGUAUGUGCAGGAAGAGCAAUCUCGCUGUAUGUUAGUUUAACUCACUACCGAGUAGCAGUAAUUUAUAAUGCAUUUGAAUUGUUUAUCUGUGUCUUCUUGCUUGACAAAUAUAGACACCGUUCAACCUGGAUCUUACUAGCUAUGUGAAUUUGGACAAGUCAUGGAACCACCUGGGCCUCUGUUUCCUUAUCUCUAAAAUGGAAAUAGCAUUUAUUCUCCUCCUCUGUCAGGCUGUAUCAAGAGAAAUCUGGCACACUAAAUAUUACAGGUGUACAAUACAGUGAUUCAACAAUUCCAUAUAUUACUCAAUGCUCAUCAAG